UGGGGAAUAUUGCACAAUGGGGGAAACCCUGAUGCAGCGACGCCGCGUGAACGAAGAAGGUAUUCGUAUCGUAAAGUUCUGUCCUAUGGGAAGAUAAUGACAGUACCAUAGAAGAAAGCUCCGGCUAAAUACGUGCCAGCAUCCGCGGUAAUACGUAUGGAGCGAGCGUUGUCCGGAAUUAUUGGGCGUAAAGGGUACGCAGGCGGUUUAAUAAGUCGAAUGUUAAAGAUCGGGGCUCAACCCCGCAAAGCAUUGGAAACUGAUAAACUUGAGUAGUGGAGAGGAAAGUGGAAUUCCUAGUGUAGUGGUGAAAUACGUAGAUAUUAGGAGGAAUACCAGUAGCGAAGGCGACUUUCUGGACACAAACUGACGCUGAGGUACGAAAGCGUGGGGAGCAAACAGG
rnacentral:rRNA from 1 species